GAUGGCAUCCCUGACUCAAUGGGCAUGAGUUUGAGUAAACUCAGGGAGAUGGUGAAGGACAGGGAAGUCUGGUGUGCUGCAGUCCAUGGGGUCGCGAAGAGUCAGACAUGACUGAGCGAGUGAACAGCCACAGCAGUUAUCCAGGUACAAGGGAGAUGGGAGACGUAGUGCAGAUGGGGAAAUGAGCAGAAGCCUCUGAACCUGAGAGGAGGUCAAGCGGCUCGGCUUCAGAAGCGCAUCACGUCCCAUGGCGUUAUGUGGACACCAACUCCAGCAUCCAGAGCAGCCACCUCCCAUCGCCAGCAGCCAGGUAGAGCUGGUGGAAGACAAGUCCAUGGGUGUCUCCAUUCAGAACAUGUCUGUGAUCUUCAAGGGGUCUCUAGGUGCCGGGGGGUAAGCUUUCCCAGGCUGACCACAGCUCCCUGGCCCUCUCUGGGCUGAGGGCAGAAUGAAGGUCCCUGGCUCUUUGUACGCUGAGUUAAUCAGUCUAUAGAUUUUGAAAUCGACUCCUCUGUUGACCAACACACAACUGAAUAUGUGUCCUACUCCCUCUGUGAAGGCAGGGAGGCUGGACUCCAUGGCCGCUGUGUGGCUCUGACAUUAGCGAUUGGUUAUGGUUAGGCUAUGGCAAGUGGCUUCCCCUCAGGGCUGCAGCCCGGCAGGCUGUGUGACCUUGGGCACUCCGCCUAACCUCACUGAAUCUCAGUUUUCUCAUCUGUAAGAUGCGAGUGAUAAUAGCAACCGGCCCAUAUGGUGGUUGUGAGAUUUGAGUGAAAAAACUGUGUAAAAUUCUUAAGAUUACACUCGGCUCAGCUGGUCCCUAUUAUUACUACUGCUGUGACCACCCUGGUACCCCCAGCAUGAGCACUCAAGUAUUUUUCACGCAGCAGUAAACAUCGCGUGAAAGCUAAGAAGGAAGAAAGCGGUUUGGAGAUCUAGGACUCCUCCACCUUUCCUAGGGUCACUUCCCUUCCUUCCCAUGCAGCCUUGGGUUAAGGGGGAUGGAUCUCCCACAAGGCCUUCAGGAUUGAAGGCGGGAGGAGAAGGGGACGACAGAGGAUGAGAUGGUUGGAUGGCAUCACCGACUCAAUGGACAUGAGUUUGAGUAAACUCCAGGAGUUGGUGAUGGACAGGGAGGCCCGGUGUGCUGCAGUCCAAGGGGUCGCAAAGAGUUGGACAUGACUGAGCGUCUGAACUGAACUGAACCGACAAGGCUGUGCAGUGAAGAAAAAACUACUCAGGACUCAGUUUCUCAUCUGCCCAACAGCGACAUCCCUAGGCCAUUGAGAGGAACUCAGAACCUGGGCCAGAUGGUGCAGUGGUAAAGAACCCACCUGCCAGCGCAGGAGGUGCAAGAGGUGCGGUUAAGAUCCCUGCGUCGGCAAGCUCUCCUGGAGUAGGAAAUGACAACUUGCUCCAGUAUUCUCACCUGGAAAAUUCCAAGGACAAGCUACAGUCCGUGGGGUCACAGAGAGUCUGACAGAACUGAGCACCAAGACAGGAGGAGAAGGUGAUCUGAGAGGUAGGAAGCACUAUGUCCCAACCCUAAUACAAAUACAAGUCAAUGUUUGCAGAACUUGCUACUAAUCAGCGACUUGACUUAGAUUAACUGUGGAAUCCUCACAAUCACCCAGCAAAGAAGAUGCUGCCAACACCCCCAUUUUAUGGCUGAAGAAACUAAAAUUCAGAGAGUCAAGGGGGACUCCCCCAUCCUGAGCUGAAAAGCAGAAGAGCAUAAUUUGAGCCUGAACCAUCUAAAUAUUCCAAGUCCCUGUUCCUACUACAUCGUGACUGCUCCCACACGGAAUCUCUAUGGCCAGGCUGAGGGAUGUGCCUGGCUCAUUGGACCCUGGGCACAUAGUAGGUGCCCAUGAACAGAAGCAAUAAAAAUUAUUCAAAUCA